UACGUAGGGUGCAAGCGUUAAUCGGAAUUACUGGGCGUAAAGCGUGCGCAGGCGGUUUUGUAAGUCUGUCGUGAAAUCCCCGGGCUCAACCUGGGAAUUGCGAUGGAGACUGCAAGGCUAGAAUCUGGCAGAGGGGGGUAGAAUUCCACGUGUAGCAGUGAAUGCGUAGAGAUGUGGAGGAACACCGGAUGGCGCAAGGCAGCCCCCUGGGUCAAGAUU
rnacentral:rRNA from 1 species